AUGUGAAAUGAGGACAUGACUGCAGCUGGCCAUGAGGCCCAAACCAGCAUGUCCAGUGCAAAAAGGCUUUGACUUUUUAAUUCUACUUAACAUUAUUUUAUUUAUCUGUUAUAUUGAAGAAACCUUUUUGAAGGACUUUGGUUUACUUAUGAGCACUUGAGCUUAAAUGAGACUUAGGGUGUUUGUAAUGACGUAGGUUAUGGUGUCGACCAUGAUUUGUUGCAAUUUUGAGGUGUUCAGUCUUAUUAUGAUUUAAGAAAAUAAAUGCGAUUGCUCACCUCACAAAUCAACUGUUUCUAGUUUUUCACUGAUGUGUCUCUUAAGUGUUGAGGACUAGUGCUGCUUUGAGCCUACAUUCAGUAUGAGUAAAAUACUCAAGUACUGUUAAAAUCAGAUACUCAAAGACUUUUACUGAAGUCGUUUUGGAAUUGGUGACUUGUAACUUGUAAUGGAGUAAUUUUCACUGCAAGGUAUCUGUACUUUUACUUAAGUAUGGUUUUCAGGUACUCUUUAACACUCUGCUAUUAAGUCUAUCUAGGAGUGAAUAGUGUUAGGGGGGUGGAGGGGAAGGUCUUACGAAAGGCGAGAGAUGUAUGGGUUUUGCUCCAGCGGGUAAGUGAAGGGUCAUAUGUGAGUCAGAAUAUCCGCUCUGAUAAAAGACUUUUGUUAAAUUAUGGCACUGUUAUAAAAUGUUAUAUUGACUGAAGUGUGGUUAUCUAAUCAGUAGUAAUGUUUUAUGAGUGGAUAUAUUGGGAAGUGUAUGAUAGACACAUUUGGUUUUGAAUAUUGCCCAAAAAUAAAAUAAAACCUGUAUACGACACAAAAGAAGAUAUUUUGAAAAAUGUCUCAGUGGUUUUGUGUCCAUAAGUCAAUGGAGGCCUAUGCUGUUUGGUUACCAAUGUUUGGAAAAAAAGUCUGUUCUGCAAAAGAAAGAAAGUCAUAUAGGUUUGGAAUGACAUUUGGAAUCAUUUUUAUUUCUGCUGAGCUAUACCUUUAAGGGAUGCUAAUAUAAACCAAAAUCCUUGAAGAUUAGAAGUCUUUGUUGUUGUUUUCAGGUGCAUAACAUUCUCCAGGAAGUUGUCAUGGGAGGGAUGGUGCUGGAAACGAACAUGAACGAAAUAGUCGCACAAGUGGAGCUGCAAAACAGAAUGGAGAAAUCCGAGGGUGGAUUGUCUGCAGCACCAGCUCGAGCUGUUUCGGCAGUGAAAAAUAUGAACCUUCCUGAAAUACCUCGAAACAUCAAUAUCGGGGACAUCAAUAUAAAAGUGCCCAGUCUAUCCCCAUUUUAAAGCUUCAUGUUACUUUUCAAUGUGGUCUGUGUUGUUAUUAAACCCUAACAUUCAUUGCCAUAGACUGUCUCCCUAAUGCCAUUUACAGACUCACGACUGACUGUAGUCACCAGGACCUUUAACCUGAGGACUGUUACAUUUCAUCUCAUCUUAGCACACUACAGGGUCCUUUCAUGUACAUUUAUUUCAAACUUUGAUUUGUAGCUGAACUCCUGUUUCGUUCAUAGGAUUGUUGUGUAUUUUGUCUUUGAUGUAGCAACAUUCCAUAAUACUGAUUUGUGUGCUGAAGUUUAUGCCAAUAACUGUAAAUGUUUUGCAUUAUUUAUAACGCAUGUUAAGUCAUUAAAACUGUGUUUUGUCAA